rnacentral:lncRNA from 1 species
GUAUUUACGAGGCCUCUGCAACAGUGAAGGAGAUGGAGACGAGAGAAGUUCGGUUGUCGAGUUCCCUCGAUCUUCUCUGGUCUCCAUCAUCAGAUCCUGGACCUAAUAACAAAUAUUACCCUUUCGACCAAAAACAAACAUCCAAAUUGAGAACCACCUCCUUUUUGGGAUUCGGUAAAAAAUAUUUGGUGACUUUAAAAUCAAUCAAUUAUU